AACGUAGGAGACAAACGUUAUCCGGAGUUACUGGGCGUAAAGGGCGUGUAGGUGGUUUCGUAAGUCUGGCGUGAAAUAUCUCGGCUUAACCGAGGCAGGUCGUCGGAUACUGCGGGACUAGAGGACGGUAGAGGCGUGUGGAAUUCCGGGUGUAGUGGUGAAAUGCGUAGAGAUCCGGAGGAACACCAGUGGCGAAGGCGACACGCUGGGCAGGACCUGACACUGAUGCGCGACAGCAUGGGGAGCAAACAGG
rnacentral:rRNA from 1 species